rnacentral:misc_RNA from 1 species
GAACUGCGAUGAGUAGUGUGAAUUGCAGAAUUCAGUGAAUCAUCGAGUGUUUGAACGCACAUUGCGCCCCGUGGCAUUCCGGGGGGGAUGCCUGUCCGAGCGUCAGAGCUACCCUCAAGCACGGCUUGUGUGUUGGGCCGCCUUCCGCCCCGCCCCGCGGGCGGGACGCGCCCGAAAGGCAGCGCCGGCACCGCGUCCGGUCCUCGAGCGUAUGGGGCUUCGUCACCCGCUCCGUGGGACCGGCCGCCGCCAGGCUUCGUCAACCACUUCUUUUCUAGGUUGACCUCGGAUCAGGUAGGGAUACCCGCUGAACUCAA